UGCGUAGGCGGGCUAAUAAGUCAGUGGUGAAAUCUUCCGGCUCAACCGGGAACCUGCCAUUGAUACUGUUAGUCUUGAGUUCGGCUGAGGUAGGCGGAAUGUGUAAUGUAGCGGUGAAAUGCUUAGAUAUUACACAGAACACCAAUUGCGUAGGCAGCUUACUAGACCGACACUGACGCUGAGGCACGAAAGCGUGGGUAGCGAACAGGAUUAGAUACCCUGGUAGUCC
rnacentral:rRNA from 1 species